rnacentral:rRNA from 1 species
ACCUGCCCAUUGAGAUUUGAAAGGCCGCGGUAUUAUGACCGUGCUAAGGUAGCAUAAUCAUUAGUCUUUUAAUUGGAGGCUGGAAUGAAUGGUCGGACAAGAGAUAAGCUGUCUUAAGUAAAAAUAUUGAAUUUAACUUUUAAGUGAAAAGGCUUAAAUCCUCUAGGGGGACGAUAAGACCCUAUAAAACUUUAUAUUUUGAAAUAAUAAUUAAUUUUGUGUGGGAGGUUUAUUUUUAAGUAUUUUAUUGGGGUGAUAAGGAUAAAAUAAUAAGUAACUGUCUUUUUUUUAUUACAAUAAUAUUUGAGCAAAUGAACCUAGUAAGGGAAAGAAGAUUAAGUUACUUUAGGGAUAACAGCGUAAUUUUUUUUUAAGAGUUCUUAUCGACAAGAAAGUUUGCGACCUCGAUGUUGAAUUAAAAAUUCUUUAUAGAGCAGAAACUAUAAAAGAAGGUCUGUUCGACCUUUAAAAUUUUAC